rnacentral:lncRNA from 10 species
CUUUUAAGCCAUGAAAACCAUGCACAUCAGCCCCACCACAGAGCCUGUGUGAUUUCAUCUUAGAUGGUAUCUUGGAAGCAAGACCUACCUGGACUUUUUAGAAAUCUAAUCUAAUCAUUUUCUGUCUUGGAGUAGGUAAGUUCCCAUUUGCUGUCAUUACAGACAUACUUCAAUUUGUUAUUAUUUUGCUACCAUGUGUUUUGGGUUUUUGGGGGGGGGGGGUUUGGGUUUUUUUGAGACAGAGUCUUGCUCUGUCACCCAGGCUGGAAUGCAGUGGUGCAAUCUCAGCUCACCGCAACCUCCACCUCCCGGGUUUAAGUGAUUGUCUGGGCUCAGCCUCCCUAGUAGCUGGGAUUACAAGUGCCCACCACCACGCCCAGCUAAUUUUUGUAUUUUUAGUAGAGAUAGGGUUUCUUCAUGUUGGCCAGACUGGUCUCGAACUCCUGACCUCAGAUGACCUGCCUGCCUCAGCCUCCCAAAGUGCUGGGAUUACGGGUGUGAGCCACCACACCUGGACGUGUUUUGUUUUUAAAUUCUCUUUUUUCAUCUUUCCUGCCUUUUUCUAUUAUUCUGUGACCUAAUGAGUAAUGGAGGGAGCCCCAUGAAGAGUGGAGUCUGCCUUCAGGAGCAGACUCUGCCUGGCAUCCCAGAGGAGUCUGUGUCUUGAAGCAGUCAGUGCUCCCAGGGCUGAGCCGCUGGCCCUGAACAACCAUUCCUUGAAUAAAGAAAUAAAGAGUGAGGCUAACUCAAGACCCAUCCUGGCUCCAUAACUCUAUUUCCAAAGUCUUUUUUUUUUUUUUUUUUUUUUGCUUAACAUUGCAGGGCACCUGCUCUAUGCUCACUGCUGGGAUCACACAGGGGAAUGAGUAGAGCUCUCCCUGGCCUCAGACACCCCCACUUAGUGAGAAGGUUACCUGUGGGGACAACUCCCUUGCCAGGUGAUAAUAGCUAUGAUGGAAGCACCCACAGAAUGUUUGAAAAGAUUUGGCAAAAGUGGGGCCACAGUGUUGCCUUUGGCAACAGCUAGGUGAAGCUGAUCAGCAGCCAUCCCUUUGGGUAGGUCCAUGCUCCAUUUCUCCACUGUCCUCACCAAGGCCAGACUAGGUCAGGCAAACAAGGCCCAAGAAGC